rnacentral:misc_RNA from 1 species
AACGGAGGGGACUAGUGUUAUUCGUCAUGACUGGGCGUAAAGGGUUCGUAGGUUGCUCAAUAAGUUAUGUAGUGUAAUUGAUAGUAGAGCAUCAAUGAGUUGUGUAAAACUGUUGAGCUAGAGGCAGUGAGAGGAUAGUGGUACACUUAAAGGAGAGGUAAUAUGCAUUGAGAUUAAGUGGACCUCCAAGAGACGAAGGUGACUAUCUGGUGCUGUACUGACACUGAGGAACGAAGGCGUGGGUAGCAAACAGG